rnacentral:rRNA from 1 species
CCUACGGGAGGCAGCAGUGAGGAAUAUUGCACAAUGGAGGAAACCCUGAUGCAGCGACGCCGCGUGAGUGAAGAAGUCAUUAUUUAUGGAAAGCUCUAUCAGUAGGGAAGAAAAUGAAGGUACGUGAGUAUGACGCACAGGCUAACACCGUGCCAGCAGCCGCGGCAACACGGAGGCGGCAAGCGUUAUCCGGAGUAAUUGGGUGUAAAGGGGGCGUAUUCGGCAGGAUAAGUCUGUAGUGAAAGGCGGGGGCUCAACGUCCGAACUGCUCUUGAUACUGUACGGCUGGAGAGCAGGUGAGGUAGGUGGAAUGACUGGUGUAGCGGUGAAAUGCGUAGAGAUUAGAAGGAACACCGGUGGCGAAGGCGGCUUAC